AACGAACGCUGGCGGCAUGCCUAACACAUGCAAGUCGAACGAGACCUUCGGGUCUAGUGGCGCACGGGUGCGUAACGCGUGGGAACCUGCCCUUAGGUUCGGAAUAACUCCCCGAAAGGGGUGCUAAUACCGGAUAAUGUCUUCGGACCAAAGAUUUAUCGCCUUUGGAUGGGCCCGCGUUGGAUUAGCUAGUUGGUAGGGUAAAAGCCUACCAAGGCGACGAUCCAUAGCUGGUCUGAGAGGAUGAUCAGCCACACUGGGACUGAGACACGGCCCAGACUCCUACGGGAGGCAGCAGUGGGGAAUAUUGGACAAUGGGCGAAAGCCUGAUCCAGCAAUGCCGCGUGAGUGAUGAAGGCCUUAGGGUUGUAAAGCUCUUUUACCCCGGGAUGAUAAUGACAGUACCGGGAGAAUAAGCUCCGGCUAACUCCGUG
rnacentral:rRNA from 1 species